rnacentral:rRNA from 1 species
UGGGGAAUAUUGCACAAUGGGCGCAAGCCUGAUGCAGCCAUGCCGCGUGUGUGAAGAAGGCCUUCGGGUUGUAAAGUACUUUCAGCGGGGAGGAAGGGAGUAAAGUUAAUACCUUUGCUCAUUGACGUUACCCGCAGAAGAAGCACCGGCUAACUCCGUGCCAGCAGCCGCGGUAAUACGGAGGGUGCAAGCGUUAAUCGGAAUUACUGGGCGUAAAGCGCACGCAGGCGGUUUGUUAAGUCAGAUGUGAAAUCCCCGGGCUCAACCUGUGAACUGCAUCUGAUACUGGCAAGCUUGAGUCUCGUAGAGGGGGGUAGAAUUCCAGGUGUAGCGGUGAAAUGCGUAGAGAUCUGGAGGAAUACCGGUGGCGAAGGCGGCCCCCUGGACGAAGACUGACGCUCAGGUGCGAAAGCGUGGGGAGCAAACAGG